GCUACGAGACCCAGAGAUAAAAGAGCAGAUUCAGAGGGAUAUAAUAGAUUACUUCAACACGAACAACACCCCGGCGGCUCAAAAGGCAAUGGUGAGGGGGACUCUGAUCAAACUAGCCACCAGAAAGAAUAAAAUGAAACAUCAAAAGCUAGAGACCCUCCUGGGACAACUGAGGACCCUCGAGCAGAAACUUUAAACGGCCCCAGACGAUGAGACAUA